CCUGUGUGCCAAUGCAGGAGACAUAAGAGACUCAAGUUUGAUCCCUGGGUAAGGAAGAUCCCCUGGGGGAGGAAAUGGCAACCCACUCCAGUAUUCUUGCCUGGAGAAAAUCCAUGGACAGAGGAGCUGGUGGGCUGCAGUUGCAUAGGGGUGCAAAAAGUCAUGAAAGCACACACUCAUGCUUCCAAAAGGAGGGGGAUCAGAGCCCCCUGGGCCCUUCCUUGCCAGCUCCUCUCUGCUCCUUACCCUCCUCCAGCCAGCCUGCUCCCAGAAAGGUUCAAUUAAGAAGGCAUUUCCAGACCUCUCUGUGGCUGGCACCACCACAUUUUUUGCAUUCCCUCCUCCUCCACUGCUCCAGGAGAGGUGUGUGUGUGUGUGUGUGUGUGUGUAUGUUUCACCUACAUCUACAUCAGGAGUCCUGUGACCCCACCUAAGAGGGAUUCUUUCCUUCAACUUCACCAUUCCAGCUGCUGGAUAUUCUCCAGGCUCUAGAGACAAUUUUCUUCACUCUUCUCUGACUCUCCAGGACUUGUGAGCCAGCGCUGUUCUGGGCUCAUGGGGAUUCUGGGGACACGUUAGCCCGAAAGAGCAAUGUACUUCAGAGGAAACAAACUUCUUACCACCAUUAUCCAUCUCAGAAGAGAGGAUGGCCCAAAGCCCUGGUGUGCAGACAGCAGCUGUACUGGGCGCCCCAGCCCUUGGUAAGCCUGCUCCAGACUCAAGAUCUGCAGGCAAGCCUCGUUCCAGAGCCAAGGACCUCCACUGAGCAGGAAGUUCCCUGACCUCUCAGAAUUUAUCCCUGGAGAAGAAAGGAAAGAUUCAUCCCAGAAGGAAGUCUGCAUGCAUCAGUCAGUGUGGUGCAUCCUCCAUAGGCGCCUGGAGAGAAACGGUGUUUUAAGAGCCCAGGUCUAGAGACGGGAGUUGGGAGGCAGUACUAGCCUGGCUUUGAUGUAACCAGAUCUCAGACCUUAGGCAAGUUCCUCCUCAUCUGUAUAACGUGGGGGCCAGCCUGGAUUAUCUUUAAUGCCUUUGCAAGACGGACACUCAGAAGUCAUAAGGACACAUACCAGACCAGUGGCCCUGCAUUCAAAAACCUUCACACAUUUUGUCUCCACAGUUAGAAGUCGUAUAGGGACUUCCCUGGUGGUCCAGUUGUUCAGACUCCAAGUUUCCACUGCAGGAGGCAUGGAUUGGAUUUGAUCUCUGGUUGGGGAACUAAGAUCCCACAUGUUGCUCAGCGGGGCCAAAUAAUUUUUUUUUUUUAAUGAAGUGGUGCCAGAAUUGUGCUGAUAUCAAAUAGUUUUGGUCAUCCAAAGUUUUCAUGAAGAGCCUCCAGCUAAUAAAUCAUUUAUUUCCUGA
ensembl:lncRNA